GAUGAACGCUGGCGGCGUGCCUAACACAUGCAAGUCGAGCGAGAAGCACUUCGAUGAAACUUCGGUAGAUUCUGGUGCGGAAAGCGGCGGACGGGUGAGUAACGCGUAGGCAACCUGCCCUUAGCAGGGGGAUAGCCAUUGGAAACGAUGAUUAAAACCCCAUAAUACGGAGACACCACAUGGCGUUUUCGUCAAAGAUUUAUCGGCUAGGGAUGGGCCUGCGUCUGAUUAGGUAGUUGGUGAGGUAACGGCCCACCAAGCCUACGAUCAGUAGCCGACCUGAGAGGGUGAUCGGCCACAUUGGAACUGAGACACGGUCCAAACUCC
rnacentral:rRNA from 1 species